rnacentral:misc_RNA from 1 species
GAUGAAGAACGCAGCGAAAUGCGAUACGUAAUGUGAAUUGCAGAAUUCAGUGAAUCAUCGAAUCUUUGAACGCACCUUGCGCCCUUUGGCUAUUCCGAAGGGCAUGCCUGUUUGAGUAUCAUGAACACCUCAACUCUUCACGGCUUGCCGUGAUGAGUUUGGACUUUGGGGGUCUUGCUGGCCUACGAGCCAGCUCCUCUCAAAUGUAUUAGCUUGCCGGUGUUUGGUGGCAUCACAGGUGUGAUAACUAUCUACGCUUGUGGUUUUCCACUAGGUAACCUUCAGCAAUGGAGGUUCACCGGAGCUCACAAAUGUCUCUCCUUGCCAAGGACAGAUUUUGACCAUUUGAUCUCAAAUCAGGUAGGACUACCCGCUGAACUUAAGCAUAUCAAUAAGCGGAGGA